CCUAACUAUUAAUUCCCUCCCAAAAUUUUGAACUCCCUCUCAAAAUUUGCCCACCUAUCUCAGAUCUCCGCCAUAACAAAUCCAAAAUUUCCCAAAUUCCCUCUCAAAACGAAAAUGGUGAGAGUUUCAGCCGAUUUGAUAUGGAAAAGCCAAAAGCCCUCACUUCUUCAACGCUCUUCGCGAACGUGAACUCGAUCUUCAAGGUUUUCAUCCAUAAAUCCUCUCACUUUUCACUGUAACCUAUACUUUAUUCAAAUAUAUAUAUAUAUAUAUAUAUAUAUAUAUAUAUAUAUCAGGAUUAACCUCCAUAGCCGAAUUCUCUAAGCAAUACAUGAAGAGAAACAAGCAGCAACAAAGUUUCUUCUAGACUAUUUUUUGGGGUUUCUUCCAUAAUUAACGAGUAAAGGCUUUUAGCUGGAUCAACCUGCCUAUAAUCGGGCCGGGGGUCUCACUGGAAGCAGUCUAUCUAUUCCUACGGGGUAGAGUUUUGUUCAAUUUGCAGGCAAUAAGAUUCCUGAGUUGGAGAAUUUGGGCGCUACUGAGAUUGACCCACUUGCGUCAAAGAAACCGAAUUAUUACCCGUAUCAACCCACAGGAUCCGCGAUACGAGUGUCCUUGUGCGAUUGAGACCUGCAUGGGAUACGGGAUCAUCGCAAGUUGCUGUCAUUUGAGGAAUUUAUGCAUCUUAUGAUCUGUUGCAUGAAGAUAUAGACGGUGAAGAUAGGUUUGCUAAAUUUUGAAGGGUUAGCCGGUUUACUCUUGACUUCAUGUAUGUAUACGACUUUUAUUCCUCUAUAAUGUCUUCCUUGCUAGUUUCUAAAAGUGCACAACCACGCUUCUAGUUCAUGAAAAGGCAAUGGUUUUGGAUUUGCUAAGAAGGUGAUGGAUUGACAUUAGAAAUACAAACUGUCAAUCUUUUACUUGAAACUCAUAAGUCAUGGCGGUGGUGGAUAUCUUCCACAAUUGACCUUGUGCCGUUAUUGGAUACACAAUGUAGUUUUCUUCUUUUAUGUGUUCUUGCUAUGCAUGGCUGCACCACUGGUAUCUAUUACUAUCCACAGUCUGCAAGUGUUGUAUAUCGUAGGUGAGGACUAGCAGGGUAGAUAUCAUGAGAAGCUUUGGAGCUAACUAUUAAGACAAUGAAAUUAUCACCCAAAGGAACAUUUAGACUUCCCGUGUAAACAUUUAGAAUUUGGAAUAUCUUACUCAUUACACAAUAUUUUUGCUAACAUUUGGAAUAUUUUUUGGAUGGAACCUAUUAUUGAAGUUAUAAUAUUACGAUUUCUAUAUUUACAAUUU